rnacentral:sRNA from 1 species
AAAAGUGAAGAAAUCAAGGAAACAAGCUAGGUGGUGAGACGUCCGGAAAAGGCAAAGGAAUUACGCCUGAGGACUAUUAGUCAGAGUUCACCCGGAAUCCGGAUUUUCGACACCUAUCAGGUGACUGUUGGACCCUAGAUCGAGGAGUCCCCG